rnacentral:rRNA from 1 species
CUACGGGGCGCUGCAGUCGAGAAUUUUUCUCAAUGGGGGAAACCCUGAAGGAGCGACGCCGCGUGGGGGAUGAAUGGCUUCGGCCCGUAAACCCCUGUCAUCCGGGAGCAAUGUUGCUUCGCUAAUACCGGAGCAAUUGAUAGUACCGGAAGAGGAAGGGACGGCUAACUCUGUGCCAGCAGCCGCGGUAAUACAGAGGUCCCAAGCGUUGUUCGGAUUCACUGGGCGUAAAGGGUGCGUAGGCGGUCGGGUAAGUCUGAUGUGAAAUCUUCGAGCCUAACUCGGAAACUGCAUCGGAUACUAUUCGGCUUGAGGAUUGGAGGGGGGACUGGAAUUCUCGGUGUAGCAGUGAAAUGCGUAGAUAUCGAGAGGAACACCAGUGGCGAAGGCGAGUCCCUGGACAAUUCCUGACGCUGAGGCACGAAAGCUGGGGGAGCAAACAGGAUUAGAUACCCUCGUAGUC